AAAUUGAAGAGUUUGAUCAUGGCUCAGAUUGAACGCUGGCGGCAGGCCUAACACAUGCAAGUCGAACGGUAACAGGAAACAGCUUGCUGUUUCGCUGACGAGUGGCGGACGGGUGAGUAAUGUCUGGGAAACUGCCCGAUGGAGGGGGAUAACUACUGGAAACGGUAGCUAAUACCGCAUAACGUCGCAAGACCAAAGAGGGGGACCUUAGGGCCUCUUGCCAUCGGAUGUGCCCAGAUGGGAUUAGCUAGUAGGUGGGGUAA
rnacentral:rRNA from 1 species